AAAGAAGGCGUCCAAGUUCCUGAAUUGCCUUUUCAUAGAUUUCCAAAAUGUCCUGAAAUUAGAACUGCGUGGAUUAGGACAAUAAAACGAAAAUCUGGAAGUGAAAGCUUCACAUCUGAAUGUAAUCAAUGUCUAUCUAAGAUCCCGGAAGUGCCAAACUGUAUUUAUGUACUUAUUUUCUGAGAAACGGCCAAUUUAUAAGUAUCAGCUGCUGCCUGCUAAAGGUAUAUAUGUAUAACAUUACUCACUUUUCUUAAAGUCUGAGUGUAGAUAUAAUAUAAGUAAGUAUGUUUUACAGAAGAAUUGUGAAUAAUUAAUAUUCAAUACUGUCAGAAACUUUCCGCCACAAAAAGUAACAUAGUAUAAUAUAAAAUAUGCUUACGUUAAUUAUAGUAAUAAUACUAAUAAAUUGAUUUGAAUUAUUUGAA